AGUUGGCCAGCUCAGUCGGUAGAGCAUGAGACUCCUAAUCUCAGGGUCGUGGGUUCGAGCCCCACGCCGGUCG
rnacentral:tRNA from 1 species